UGUAGAUUUACUAAUGAUUGAAUUUUUCCUUCAAUAUUAGGGAUUGCCCAUCGGAGCACAGGAGUAUACAGGAGUCCAGGGGAGGCUCCGUCAUCCUCACUUGCAACAUAUCAGCGACAAAUGUAACGCAAAUCAACUGGACCAAAGGCAGUUUUCUUUUUGCAUAUUCAUUCAAACACAAUCAGACUUUUUCAAAUUUCACCUCUCACACACUGAUAGACACAACCCUACCUACAACGCUGAAUAUUUCUAAUGUUCAGCAUGAAGAUGCAGGACUCUAUAGAUGUAAUCUAGCUUACCCAGCAGGUGCAGGAUAUAUUGAGUGGAAUUUAAUGUUGUCCUGUGAACCUGAAGGAAAAGAUUCAUCGUGGUCUUUUCUAUACACACUCUCCGCUGUAAUUGGAUUGAUUCUAUGUGUUUUCACUUCAGCUGUCUGCCUCUACAGAAAACUCAAAGCCAGGAAGGCAAACCAGAAUUCAGCACAGGGGCAGAUGGAUAUGCAGUCGGACAGAGAGUUUGGCCUACCUCAAACGCAGGAAGUCACAAGCAGUAGGCACAGGAGUCAAUACAUGGAGCGGCUCAAUGCCAUCUAUGAUUGCUAAUGAGCUGAAGCCAUUUAAAUGAAGGGACACGGACAAACCAGGAGCCUCAAUGGAAACCAUCAGACGGAGGGACGACUGGUCACUGAUGCCUUUGUAUCUAACAUUUAUACAUAAAACCAGUGCUGUCACUUUAAGGACUUUUGUUUUCAGCUUUUAUUUUAUAUUUAUGGUACUCUUUGUAUUUUAAUAUGUUCUUGUAAAUAUGGUUUAUUAUUGAUGUCUUUGUUGAAUGUAUUUCUCAUCCGUCCUGAACGCCGAGCCAAUCAAAGAAAGCUGCUAAUAGUGUUGGCAAAUAAAGUUUACCCAACAGUU